rnacentral:rRNA from 1 species
UACGUAGGGGGCAAGCGUUGUCCGGAAUCAUUGGGCGUAAAGAGCGCGUAGGCGGCCCUGUAAGUCCGCUGUGAAAGUCAAGGGCUCAACCCUUGAAUGCCGGUGGAUACUGCAGGGCUCGAGUCCGGAAGAGGCGAGUGGAAUUCCUGGUGUAGCGGUGAAAUGCGCAGAUAUCAGGAGGAACACCGAUGGCGAAGGCAGCUCGCUGGGACGGUACUGACGCUGAGGCGCGAAAGCGUGGGGAGCGAUCCGG